GCAAGUCGAGCGAUAUAGCGGCAGACGAGAGAGUAAUAACAAGGAACUUACCCCUAAGUGAAGGAUAGCCACCCGAAAGGGUGGGUAAUCCUGCAUAACAUCGAAAGAUCAAAGCCUUCGGGCGCUUGGGGAGAGGCCUUGUUCCUAUCAGCUAGUUGGUGAGGUAAUUGCUCACCAAGGCGAUGACGGGUAGCUGGCCUGAGAGGGUGACC
rnacentral:rRNA from 1 species